ensembl:snoRNA SNORD72 small nucleolar RNA, C/D box 72
AGCUUGCCAAUGAUGUCACAAAAUAAAUGUCUGAACUGAUGAUAUCAAUGAUUUUAUUUUUUAAGAUCUUUACUAAAGCAAGCU